rnacentral:rRNA from 1 species
CGGAGGAUCCAAGCGUUAUCCGGAUUUAUUGGGUUUAAAGGGAGCGUAGGCGGCCUAUUAAGUCAGGGGUGAAAGACGGUGGCUCAACCAUCGCAGUGCCCUUGAUACUGAUGGGCUUGAAUGUAGUUGAGGUGGGCGGAAUGUGACAAGUAGCGGUGAAAUGCAUAGAUAUGUCACAGAACACCGAUUGCGAAGGCAGCUCACUAAGCUAUGAUUGACGCUGAGGCUCGAAAGCGUGGGAUCAAACAGGAUU